GAUGAACGCUGGCGGCGUGCCUAAUACAUGCAAGUCGAGCGAACAGACGAGGAGCUUGCUCCUCUGACGUUAGCGGCGGACGGGUGAGUAACACGUGGAUAACCUACCUAUAAGACUGGGAUAACUUCGGGAAACCGGAGCUAAUACCGGAUAAUAUAUUGAACCGCAUGGUUCAAUAGUGAAAGACGGUUUUGCUGUCACUUAUAGAUGGAUCCGCGCCGCAUUAGCUAGUUGGUAAGGUAACGGCUUACCAAGGCAACGAUGCGUAGCCGACCUGAGAGGGUGAUCGGCCACACUGGAACUGAGGCACGGCCCAGACUCCUACGGGAGGCAGCAGUAGGGAAUCUUCCGCAAUGGGCGAAAGCCUGACGGAGCAACGCCGCGUGAGUGAUGAAGGUCUUCGGAUCGUAAAACUCUGUUAUUAGGGAAGAACAAAUGUGUAAGUAACUAUGCACGUCUUGACGGUACCUAAUCAGAAAGCCACGGCUAACUACGUG
rnacentral:rRNA from 1 species